GUAAAGAGAACCAAACUCAGUUCCAGGAGUAAGGGGAGCCUGAGGAUGGUGAGUGAGGGGCUGUGCCGGAAGGAGGUGGGAAGGGCCCCCGCUGAAGCCCCCUCUUGACUGUUCUUUCUCUGCUACAGGCCAAGUUCCUUUCCCAGGACCAAAUUAAUGGUAGGUUGGGUUUGUUCUUUAAUUAGUAAUUCGCCACAAAAUGUGUGUCUCAUUAGGCAAUUUGCUUUGCUGGGUUUUGUUGGUAGGAAGGAAGGCCCCGAGGGGUGGACAGCUGGCCCACCCACAGGCUUGGGGCCAGGUGCUGUGGGGCAGCUGGUUAUCUGUUUGGGGGUGGCCCUGAAGACCGACUAACUGACUUCCAGGGCUUGUUAUAUGUCAGUGUGACUUUCAAGCUGGGUCAUAAAAGUGAGCUUGCUUAGUGCUCCAGAGAGCCUGGAAACGGGUCUGGGUGGGAGGCUGGUCAUGGAGAAAGGUCACUAACAUAGUAAUUGAACCAGAGAUGGGGGAUGGGGCUUUGUAGUCAGUGUAGACAGGCAACAGAACUCAGGGUUACACGCUGGGGCAGGAUAUUUCUUUAUGGACCUUAGACUGUAAAAUGAGGGGCUCAGCUGGCACCUCCUGCCUAGUUCAGUGUGGGCACCUUGUUCUUGGGCUUCCCACAGAGCAGAGUUCUGUUUCCCCAAGAGCAGAAAGGCAGAAUUAAGUUACACAGGACCUGGCAAACACCUGGCCAGGGAUCUGGUGGCUGAGUUUCUGGCAGAGAGGCCAGAGUGCAGCACAGGCCCUUUACGGGAUAACUCUCUUUUCCCUGAGGCUGAGCCCCUACACCUGCCCCAACAUAGGAGGGAAACAGCCUUGGUAACCCCCUUCUCAUUGCCGCUGACAUGACACCUUGUCGGUGAGCUAGAACUGCAGGUACACAGGGACACGGAGCUCUGGUGCAGGACACUGUCCAGCAGGCCACAGGGGUGGCUUCUGGUUACCCCAGCAAGGAUCUAUCCCAGAGAUGUAAAUGACUAGAGUACAGUCUAGAGCAGGGAGUGACAGCGAUGUGUGCCUAUUGGUCCUACUCUUAGAUUCCUCAACUCCCUAUCCCCAAACUAAGGCCCAGAACAGAGGGGACAGUGAGGAGACUCUGCUACACAGAGCCUAGCCCACAGUUAGGGGCCAGGGGCUGGCGGACAAUCCACUAUGGGAGAAUUUGUACUGCUCUUGCAGAAGACCUAAGUUUGGUUCCCAGUACAUAUACAAGAACUGAUCACCAUCACCUGUAACUCCAUCUCCCAGGGCAAAGGAAACCUUUGGCCUCCUGGGGCACCUGUAUGCGUGCAUGUGCACACAAUGGAAAGUAAAGUCUUUGAAGGGGGGACCUAAGCUAGAGGCCACCUGUCAGCCUCACCAGUCCCCCUACUCUGUCUGGACAACGGACUCACUGCCCCCUCGCUCCCAUGGCUUUUGAAACAACUAGAAAGGAAGAAGGCGAAUUCUCUUUGUAUCCCAGUGUCUAACACCAAGAAGGUGGCCAUGAGUGUUUAGAGUUGGAAGCCUGGACAGGGUUGGGCGAGGAAUGGGGCUUUGGAAGCUCCCAGGCCAGUCACCUUUGAGUCUCAGUUUUCUUGUCUGAGAAGAGGGUCAACGAUGCAUCCUGAUGUGUUUACCUCACUUCUACUUUACUUCAGCAAGAGUCCUUUCUCUGUGCUAACCCUGCCCUGUGCCAGCCCUUCCCCAGGUGUUAAAAACUGAGCAGGGGGCCGGAAGGUACCCCCCAUUCUUGGGGUCACAAUCAAGGAGAGUGAAAGACAGAAUGGACAGCAGUGAAUGAGGGGUGGGGCCACACUGAGAGGACUGGAGGGGUGUGUGUGUGUGUGUGUGUGUGUGUGUGUGUGUGUGUGUGAAGGAGACUGAGGAUCGGGGUCCUCAGGCAAGCCAGGUAUUCUGGGGAUCUUGUUAUCUUGGUCUAGCAUAGUGAGAAAAGACUGCAGGUACUGAGGGCCCACCAAGCACUGUGAUGCAGGACAGUGUCCAGCAGGCUCCAGAGGUGGCUUCUGGUGACCCAGGAAGGGAUCCCAGCGUUGUAAAGGACCAGAGCUUGGACAGAUGGCGGAGGGGAGGGAGAAGGCGGAAGGGGGGUUGGAGGCGGCAGCUGGAGAGAUGGCUCAGCAGUUAAGAGCACCUGAGAGAGGGAGAUAGGUUCCCUGCAGUCACGCUGGGUGACUCAACACCACCUGGAAUUCCAGCUCCAGGGAAUCUGGCUCUGCAGGUUUGAAGAGAUGGAUGGGGGCUGGAGAGAUAAAGGCACCUGCCCCCAAGCCGGGGGCGGGGGGGUUCCUCCCAGCCCAGCACAUGGUGGAAAGAACCAUCUCCCCCACAAGAUACUCUCUGACUCCCACACAUAUAUACACU
rnacentral:lncRNA from 1 species